rnacentral:rRNA from 1 species
GACGAACGCUGGCGGCGUGCUUAACACAUGCAAGUCGAACGGACAGGCCCUGCUUUUGUUGGGUUCUCGAGUGGCGCACGGGUGAGUAAAACGUGUGUAACCUGCCCUUGUCUUUGUGAUAACUUCAGGAAACUGGGGCUCAUACCGGAUAGAAGCUCCUGCUGCAUGGUGGGGGUUGGAAAGAUUCGGCGGUUCGGGAUGUAAUCGCGGCUUCUCAGCUUGUUGGUGGGGUUGUGGCUUACCAAGGCUUUGACGGGUAGCCGGCCUGAGAGGGUGACCGGCCACAGUGGGACUGAGAUACGGGCCAGACGCAUACGUGAGGAAUGAGUGGGGAAUAGUGCACAAUGGGCGGAAGCCGUAAGCAGCAACGUCGGGUGCUGGAUGACGGCCUUCGGGUUGGAAACAGCGUGCGCCUAUGACGAAGCGUGAGGGACGGUAAUGGGUAAAGAAGCACCGGCUAACUACGUG